GACAGAGGGUGCAAACGUUGUUCGGAAUUACUGGGCGUAAAGCGCAUGUAGGCGGCCUAGCAGGUCGGAUGUGAAAUCCCUCGGCUCAACCAAGGAAGUGCAUUCGAAACCGCAAGGCUGGAGUCCCGGAGAGGAUGGUGGAAUUCUCGGUGUAGAGGUGAAAUUCGUAGAUAUCGAGAGGAACACCGGCGGCGAAGGCGGCCAUCUGGACGAGGACUGACGCUGAGAUGCGAAAGCGUGGGGAGCAAACAGG
rnacentral:rRNA from 2 species